GGCUAAGGCAGCGUCUUCCUGUGCUGGACACUGUUGUUGAUUUUUUUAAAUUUAUUUGUCACAAAUACACACCGUUUGUGUUUCUGGUCACACUGAAGCCUUUACAUUUGGGGAUCUCCUGCAGGUGGCAGUGCAGGAUAAAGAUGCUUGACUACGAGAUCAAAAGAGCUAAAGAUAUCCAGCGUUGUCAUCACAACAGUGACUCGUGGCAUCACGCUGGCAAGUGUCCCUCCUGAUGAGAAGUGGCAGCAGUUUAGAAAGUCACUGCAUGUUAGCAGCAGCUUCGGAUGAGAGUGACAGAAGGAGAUCUCACAAAAGCCUGUUUCUGUGGGAAACAACUUUCUACAGAAACGGUUGUUUGCUUUAGCACUUCUUUUUGUGUGUGUUUUUUAAAAUCACUCAUGGAUCUGUUGUAGCAUGAUGAAGCAGAAGGAUCUCAGCUGUUUGGAUGGAGAAAACUUUUGCUCCACACACUUAAGAUGAAUCGUGUGAAGACUUACACAUCAAUUGUAGGAUUUUUAUCAAUUUAUUUGAUGAUUACAAAACUUAGUGCAACCUUGUUGCUAAUUUUUGCAAGUAAAAAGGUUCAAAAUCUGUACCAAAUUGAGCUUUCUCUCAGGAGAAACAACUCCUGAGAGUAACUGACUUUUCUCAGAAGAAAAUGUAUUGAUAUAAAUAAGUAAACAUAUUCAUCUAAUUCAGAUUUAACAGGGUUGAAUGAGGUUGAGUGAGAUAUUAAAUUAUUACUGACUUUGUUUCCAAAAUAUGACCAACAGAAGAGAGGACAUACCUUUGCUCUUCUCAUUCUUUUGAAAAACUGAGUGAUGAUGUCAAAUCCAGCAGAUCAUGUGAUCCUCUCCUCUAUUAUUCUUCUACCAUUGUUAAAAUAUUACAGUAACUGGGUUGCAUGCCUAUUGCGGGACACGUUUUAUGGUUAAUAAAAAUUUGAAAUAUUUAGUUUGUUAGCGUUUGUCUUGUUUUAGGGUUGGCAUCAACCUGUUUUAGCUUUUAAUUGUAUAUAAUAGUGAUAUAAAAAUUCAUUUUGACUUUGUCAGGAAUCUUGAUUUAAACAAAAUUCUAUAAAAACAAAAAAAAGAACUAAAAUAAUCUGGUUGAAAUUGUAUCCUUUCUGGUGUUUAGAGUUUGUUUUGACUCGGUUACAUAAAAAAAAAUUUAUAAAGCAAGAAUAGAGCCAAAAUUAAAAAUCAUUAGUGGAUUUUUGAGCCAACAUAUUGAAAUACAUUUCCUCUCCCGAUCAUGUAAGCUUCAAAAGAUGCUCAUCUGUCUAGUUUAGUUC